rnacentral:rRNA from 1 species
UGGGGAAUAUUGCACAAUGGGCGCAAGCCUGAUGCAGCCAUGCCGCGUGUAUGAAGAAGGCCUUCGGGUUGUAAAGUACUUUCAGCGGGGAGGAAGGCGACAGGGUUAAUAACCCUGUCGAUUGACGUUACCCGCAGAAGAAGCACCGGCUAACUCCGUGCCAGCAGCCGCGGUAAUACGUAGAGAGCAAGCGUUGUCCGGAUUUACUGGGUGUAAAGGGUGCGUAGGCGGCUUUGCAAGUCAGAUGUGAAAUCUAUGGGCUCAACCUGGGAACUGCAUUCGAAACUGGCAGGCUAGAGUCUUGUAGAGGGGGGUAGAAUUCCAGGUGUAGCGGUGAAAUGCGUAGAGAUCUGGAGGAAUACCGGUGGCGAAGGCGGCCCCCUGGACAAAGACUGACGCUCAGGUGCGAAAGCGUGGGGAGCAAACAGG